CCCUUCUCUGAAGAGGCCUCUGGAUCUUGGUAAAGAGGAAGCUGGCUUAUACAAACUGUCUUGGGUGCCUCCUUCCCCUUCUCCCUCUCCUGGUUCUUCUUUUACUUCUGUGUAUGCUUUGUAUGAUUUUUGUAAUGAUGACAAUGUGUCUGACAGCAACACUGUUGGCUUGUCUCCAAUUGUAAAUAAUUCCAUUUGUAAUAAUGCUGUUACAUCUGAUAUGAAUUACAUUUGGCAUUUAAGACUAGCACAUACUCCUUUUGCUAAUAUGAAACAUAUUUCUGGUUGUCUUUUGCACUUGCUUCUAAACAACCUUUUCCUUGCUCUGUCUGCCCUAUGGCAAAACAGACUAGACUUCCUUUCCAUGACAGUAGUAUCAGUACUACUAGACCAUUUCAAUUAAUACAUAUGGAUACUUGGGGGCCUUACCACACUUCUACUUCUUCUGGUUAUAAGUAUUGGUUUGUCUUUUCCACUUGCUUCUAAACAACCUUUUCCUUGCUCUGUCUGCCCUAUGGCCAAAAAGACUAGACUUCCUUUCCAUGACAGUAGUAUCAGUACUACUAGACCAUUUCAAUUAAUACAUGUGGAUACUUGGGGGCCUUACCACACUUCUACUUCUUCUGGUUAUAAGUACUUCCUUACUAUAGUUGAUGAUUUUUCUAGGGCUACCUAGACACACUUAAUGGGAUCAAAAAGCAAUGUUUUUUCCUUGCUUAAGUCUUUCAUCUCCUUUGUUAAAACUCAGUUUCACACUGUGGUCCAAACUGUUAGAAGUGACAAUGCCUUAGAAUUGGGAUCCAUACUGAGGGAAUAUCCUAUUUUAGUAGCCAGGGGAUUAUUCAUCAAACCUCCUACCCUCAUUCCCCUUAGCAGAAUAGGGUUGUUGAAAGAAAACACAGAACACUUCUUGAGACAUGUAGAGCCCUACUUUUUCAGUCUGGCCUACAUGUGUCCUUCUGGGGGGAUUGUCUGCUAACUACCACCUAUCUUCUUAACAGAAUUCCUUCCAGAAUCCUUAACCAUAAGUCUCCGCAUGAAAUUUUGUAUGGCAAAGUUCCAUCAUAUUCCCAUUUGAGGGCAUUUGGAUGCCUAGCUUAUGCAGUUGUCCCUAUUCCUCAAAGGGACAAGCUCAAACCUAGAGCACAUUCUUGUGUUUUUCUGGGUUACCCCUUUGCCAAGAAGGGUUAUAAAGUGUAUAAUUUGGUCACCAGAAAAUGUUUUGUCUCAAGGGAUGUUAUCUUCCAUGAAACAUAUUUUCCUUUUAAGACUACACCUAUUUAUGCUCAACCUUCUUCUUCACCUUUUCCUUUUAUUCCUCUUCCUGAUGAUUUAACUGACAGUGUUUUUCCCAUACAUGAUACCCCUAAUUCUACUGUCCUUCCUUCUACUUCUGCUCCUCCUGCACCUAAUUUUUCUGCUACUAGUCCAUCUUCUCAUCCUUCUUUCAAUCCCGAUCUCCCUGCUCCUGUGUUACCUCCUUCACAUCCUCUUCCCCCACCUAGAAAGUCCACUAGACAGCAUAAUCCUCCUUCCUAUCUUAAGGAUUAUGUCUGUCAACUGCCUGCCUUUUCUGGUUCUUCUUCUUCCAUUUUGGAAUCUGAAACUAUGUAUUACUCUCAAGCUGCAUCUGUCCCAGCAUGGCAGGAUGCAAUGAGACAAGAGUUUGAUGCUUUGGAGGCUAACCAUACUUGGGAUAUUGUUUCUCUUCCUCCUGGUAAGAAACCCAUUGGCUGUAAGUGGGUCUAUAAAAUCAAAUACAAGUCUGAUGGUCUAGUUGAAAGAUAUAAAGCAAGGCUUGUUAUUAGGAGUGAUACACAAGUUGAGGGUAUUGAUUUUACUGACACUUUUUCUCCUGUGAUUAAGAUGACUUCUAUGAAAUGCCUUAUUGUUGUGGCUGUCAAGAAUCAUUGGCCUCUUUUUCAGCUUGAUGUCAAUA
rnacentral:lncRNA from 1 species